rnacentral:rRNA from 1 species
UACGUAGGGUGCGAGCGUUGUCCGGAAUUACUGGGCGUAAAGAGCUCGUAGGUGGUUUGUCGCGUUGUCCGUGAAAACUCACAACUCAAUUGUGGGCGUGCGGGCGAUACGGGCAGACUGGAGUACUGCAGGGGAGACUGGAAUUCUCGGUGUAGCGGUGAAAUGCGUAGAUAUCGAGAGGAACACCUGCGGCGAAGGCGGGUUGCUGGGCUGACACUGACGCUGAAGCGCGAAAGCUAGGGGAGCGAACGGG